UACGAAGGGGGCUAGCGUUGCUCGGAAUCACUGGGCGUAAAGCGCACGUGGGCGGAUCUUUAAGUCAGGGGUGAAAUCCUGGAGCUCAACUCCAGAACUGCCUUUGAUACUGGGGAUCUCGAGUCCGGAAGAGGUGAGUGGAACUCCGAGUGUAGAGGUGAAAUUCGUAGAUAUUCGGAAGAACACCAGUGGCGAAGGCGGCUCACUGGUCCGGUACUGACGCUGAGGUGCGAAAGCGUGGGGAGCAAACAGG
rnacentral:rRNA from 1 species